UUUGAUAAAAAUCUAACUCUCCAGAUUCUUUCUUUUCUCUUUCUUUCUUUCUCUUUCUUUCUUCUCUUCACUUCGUCUCAAAGAGUUAAAACCGUAAGAGAAAAAUCGAGUGAGAGAAACCAAGAAAAAAACCCCUCUUUACAAUAUAUAAAAGAUAGAUUCAUACCUAAAUCGAUUGAAAAUCCCUUUUGUAGAUGAAUAUGCAUGUUAGAACUCAGAUUUAUUCCUCUUCUUCUGAUUCCAAACCCUAAAUUGAACAAAACUUGUUUCAAGCAUGUUACCGGAAAUAAAUACCCGUUUUUACUGAGCUUGAAUAAUCUAAUUUCAGAAAAAGAUUGAGGUACAGACACCUAGAAGAUUCGGUUGAUUGCUUUCAUGCACUGCGGAGGAUCGAGCCUUUUCAAGCAAGGACUUUCUUCGUUUAUAAGCAUCCACUUGAAAUGUUCUUUCUGCGUACGUCUUGGUCCCUCUCGUCCUAACGGUUUGAUGACAUAAUUAUCAUACAAUUACAUCCCUGCUUCUUUCUCGAAAACCAACCAAAUUAUUCCCCUGCUUGCUGGUGUAGUUUAAUAACAAUUACCAACAUACUUAUGCGAUCAUGCAAAAGUUCAGAAUUUCUGUUGUCAAGUCAUGGAGUGUUAUCAUCCGCUCUUUUCUAGGGUUUACUACCUGAAGCAUGCAUUCACGAUGAAGUGUUACUCUCAGCUUUCCUCAAUCAGUUAUCAACAGUCUCGCCUGGUCUAUUACCAAAUUUUUCCGUUUUCGUUCGUGAGAUACAAGAAAAAUACAGGUGGUUGAGUUGCAGCAAAGAAAAUAUGGAGAGUAAAAAAAAAGACUUGCUUUAUUUACGUGCAUUCUGGAUUUUAUCUAUAUGUUGAGCACCUGUAAUUUUCAACUCGUCCUUAGGAUUUCAACUCAGAUGCGGUGUUUGUCUUCAACCAGUUCAACCUCGCUUUCUCAAGAUUCAGUACAUGCGCUAUUUGCAGCGGGUUCAUCUAGAACUCUACAUACCUGUCGAGGAACAAGAUUUUUUGUUAGAGAUGAAAGUGUGAGCAUGGAUUUACUUUUUACUCUUCCUUUGGAAUUUCAAUACAUCGAGUAUUUAUAUCAACAAAAAUCAAUGAAUACUAACUUCUAAGCUAAUAUUUCCAAGCCAGUGCACUUCUCCAAAAAGAUCUCGAUAAUGCUAAAGCAAGCAUAGAGGUCCUUAUUACUGAUAAUUCUUAAAGGACCAGGUGAUGAUAACAAAGAUCACCAUCACUUUGUUGUACAACUGGAUGUUUACCAGCGCAGGAUUAAACAGGUUACUGCUAUUGCUAUCAGAGACUCGCGAAGUUUUCUAACGCUUAACCUUCGUGUAGUUACCCUAGUCAGAGAUCUGGUAUAAUUGCACACCAAGAACUUUUUACACUUAAAAUUUAUUUUUCUAUUGUAAUCAAAGUUGUCUUGUGUAAAUGGAAGGAACUACAUAUGGGAGUUUAGAGGACACCAAAGUCAGACUCAACAAGAUUUCCGUCUUAAGUAUCAUUGUUGGUCUUUCGUGGAGGCCAAAGAAAAAGAUCAAGUAGAUGCAAUCCUAAAAAUUUUGGUGGGUGCAGAGCCGGAGAAUUUGUUUUCUAGCAUUUUAAUUGGUGCAAAAGCUAAGCCUUUGAAGCAACCCAAGGCACAACAUAAAGAAUAUGAUGAGACUGACUUGGCAAAUCUUCAGAAGAAGAAAAGGGAAACUUUAUGUUAGGUGGUGCUGGACUAAAGAGAAGUGGAAAGAACAGAACAAGAUGCUCCAUAAAGGUGGCAUUAUAAGGAAAUCAAGAUGACAGAGUUGGAUAAGUCUUGUAGAAAAUGGGUGAAGUCAGGUGACAUUGAUUGAACAAGAAACCCAAAAUAUGCUCAACUUUGAUCCCAAAUUGUAAAGACAGACCUGUCAUCCAUAGUUUAUUUUGUUAAAAUUCAGUCAUCUUACAUCUGUAGUAGUAUUGAUUGAUUGUAUGGAUGGAUACAUGUUAUAAUAGAAUUGAUUGAAUAAUGGUUUCAUAUUUGAUUGGGAAUGGAGUGGCUAGAUACCUAUAAUCUGGUGUAGGAAAUCAAAUGUGCAGGU